rnacentral:rRNA from 1 species
UACGUAGGGGGCAAGCGUUGUCCGGAUUUAUUGGGCGUAAAGAGCGUGUAGGCGGUUUGGUAUGUCCGUUGUGAAAACUCGAGGCUCAACCUCGAGACGCCGAUGGAAACCAUCAGACUAGAGUCCGGAAGAGGAGAGUGGAAUUCCUGGUGUAGCGGUGAAAUGCGCAGAUAUCAGGAGGAACACCCGUGGCGAAAGCGGCUCUCUGGGACGGUACUGACGCUGAGACGCGAAAGCGUGGGGAGCAAACAGG